GAUGAACGCUGGCGGCGUGCUUAACACAUGCAAGUCGAACGGAAAGGCCCAAGCUUGCUUGGGUACUCGAGUGGCGAACGGGUGAGUAACACGUGGGUGAUCUGCCCUGCACUUCGGGAUAAGCCUGGGAAACUGGGUCUAAUACCGGAUAGGACCACAUUUUGGAUGGUGUGGUGGAAAGUUUUUCGGUGUGGGGUGAGCUCGCGGCCUAUCAGCUUGUUGGUGGGGUAAUGGCCUACCAAGGCGUCGACGGGUAGCCGGCCUGAGAGGGUGUACGGCCACAUUGGGGCUGAGAGACGGCCCAGACUCCUACGGGAGGCAGCAAUGGGGAAUAUUGCACAAUGGGCGCAAGCCUGAGGCAGCGACGCCGCGUGGGGGAUGACGGCCUUCGGGUUGUAAACUCCGUUCGCUAGGGACGAAGAGUUUUUGUGACGGUACCUGGAGAAGAAGCACCGGCUAACUACGUG
rnacentral:rRNA from 1 species